rnacentral:rRNA from 1 species
ACGGAAGGCAGCCUCUCCGCAUAUUCCGCAAUGCACGAAAGUGUGACGGAGCGACGCCGCGUGGAUGAUGAAGGCCGGAAGGUUGUAAAAUCCUUUUAUGACUGAGGAAUAAGUAUUCUGAGAGAAACGGAGUAUGGUGACUGUAGGUCAUGAAUAAGCAACGGCUAAUUACGUGCCAGCAGCCGCGGUAACACGUAAGUUGCGAGCGUUGUUCGGAAUUAUUGGGCGUAAAGGGCAUGUAGGCGGUUUUGCAAGCUUGGUGUGAAAGGCAGGAGCUUAACUACUGGAAUGCGUUGAGAACUGCAAGACUUGAGUAACUGAGGGGCAAUCAGAAUUCCUGGUGUAGGGGUGAAAUCUGUAGAUAUCAGGAAGAAUACCAAUGGCGAAGGCAGGUUACCAGCAGAUGACUGACGCUGAGGUGCGAAGGUGCGGGGAGCAAACAGGAUUAGAUACCCUGGUA